UUUAAAGAUGUGACGGUGGGCUUCACCCAGGAGGGGUGGCAGCAUCUGGACCCUGCUCAGAUGACCCUGUACAGGGAUGUGAUGCUAGAGAACUACAGCCACCUCGUCUCAGUGGGAUAUUGCGUCCCUAAACCAGAAGUGAUCUUCAAAUUGGAACAAGGAGAGCAGCCAUAGACAUUAGAGGAAGAGCCCCCAGGCCAGAGAUACCCAGGUGAAUUGGCAUGUAUUAAGCAGAAGGAUGCCAGUGACAUGAUCAUCCAGAAGCAAUAAGGAAAAAGAGCAAUACAACUUUAUCUCAUGACAAUAGAGGAUAUCUGAAACCUCAAAUCAAUACAAGUGGAAAUGCUGCCAGAAUCACUGAAAAAUUAAGGAGGUCUAUAUGUACCAGCAGAUGAAAAGAAACAAAAACAUUUCUGGUGCUUGAAGGAACUGGUAAUAUACUUGACAGAGAUAAAGUACAUACUCUGAGGUGCAAAGCUUAAAUCUCUGUUGGAAUAACAUCAGUGCUGUGCACAGGACAGCUGGAGCUCCUUUGAAUGCAGUUUGGUUCUGUGAAGCUGAUGUAGGGUUACGUAUGGAAACAGACACACAAGUCAUAUUUUUCUGUGACAAUGCAAGAGAUGAGACUUUCCAUUUCAGAAAAAAAAAUGUUACAGACACCUGUAUGUGGG
rnacentral:lncRNA from 1 species